GCCUUUUACAAGUGGUCAAAUCCCUUAUUAAAGUAGGGGAGUCCUAGCACUGUUGCAAUUCUAAAUACAGUAAGAAAUCACAUGAUUAGCUACUUAAUCGGCCUCUUCUUGAUACGUGCCGAGAUUUUUGCCUUGAUCCUAGUCGGAUUGCUGAUAUUUCGGCUUUUCAUUAUUUUGGCUCGGAAAGCUUCACUCGAUCUUGCUCAAUCUCUAUCCGGCUUGGCCGAUCUUGGUAUCGAUCGAUCUCUGGUGCAUGAGAUCGGCAAU
rnacentral:lncRNA from 1 species